rnacentral:tRNA from 1 species
GGCUUUGAAGUAUAUGUUACGUUGAAUUGCAAAUUCAAAGGAGCAGUUGAAGACUGCCAAGGCCU